GAUGAACGCUGGCGGCGUGCUUAACACAUGCAAGUCGAACGAUGAAGCCCAGCUUGCUGGGUGGAUUAGUGGCGAACGGGUGAGUAACACGUGAGUAACCUGCCCUUGACUCUGGGAUAAGCCCGGGAAACUGGGUCUAAUACCGGAUAGGAGCGCCUGUCGCAUGACGGGUGCUGGAAAGAUUUUUCGGUCAUGGAUGGACUCGCGGCCUAUCAGCUUGUUGGUGAGGUAAUGGCUCACCAAGGCGACGACGGGUAGCCGGCCUGAGAGGGUGACCGGCCACACUGGGACUGAGACACGGCCCAGACUCCUACGGGAGGCAGCAGUGGGGAAUAUUGCACAAUGGGCGGAAGCCUGAUGCAGCGACGCCGCGUGGGGGAUGACGGCCUUCGGGUUGUAAACCUCUUUCAGUAGGGAAGAAGCGGAAGUGACGGUACCUGCAGAAGAAGCACCGGCUAACUACGCG
rnacentral:rRNA from 1 species